rnacentral:rRNA from 1 species
AACGGCCAUACCAUGCUGAAUAUACCGGUUCUCGUUAGAUCACCGAAGUCAAGCAUCAUUGGGCGCGGUCAGUACUUGGGUGGGUGACCACCUGGAAACACCGCGUGCCGUU